UACGUAGGGUGCAAGCGUUAAUCGGAAUUACUGGGCGUAAAGCGUGCGCAGGCGGUUAUGUAAGACAGGUGUGAAAUCCCAGGGCUUAACCUUGGAACUGCAUUUGUGACUGCAUCGCUGGAGUGCGGCAGAGGGGGAUGGAAUUCCGCGUGUAGCAGUGAAAUGCGUAGAUAUGCGGAGGAACACCGAUGGCGAAGGCAAUCCCCUGGGCCUGCACUGACGCUCAUGCACGAAAGCGUGGGGAGCAAACAGG
rnacentral:rRNA from 1 species